rnacentral:ncRNA from 1 species
CGACGACAAAGGCACACCAUCCGAAAGGAUGGGCCGCAAAGCCGUGAGCCUACGGCGGCGCGUCCGCUAUGGCUGUCUGGCUGCCGAA